rnacentral:tRNA from 79 species
GGGGUAUUAGCUCAGUUGGUAGAGCGCUUCAAUGGCAUUGAAGAGGUCAGCGGUUCGAACCCGCUAUGCUCCACCA